ensembl:lncRNA
GGCUGGUCAAGAAGCCAUCAUACAUGCGGUGAAGCGGAGUGACACAGCUGUUCUAGAAAUACUCCUGAAAAGUACUAUCUAAGAUGCCUUCGGUCACGGGGGUCGCUGGAGCCAAUCCCAGAUACUUAAGGGUGGAGGACUCUGCCCAGAAUGAAUCGCCAUUGCGCAUAAGAAUAAGUUCCAUGGAUCCUCCUAUCGUGUUUGCCCGUACUAAGGAGGCCCCAGUUGUUGCCGCCAUACAUGCAGGAUCGGCAUCAAAACCAGCUGUUGUCGCCAAAGAAUGUGCAUUACUGGUGUCAAACCCACUUACUGCCGUGGCAGCAGGGGCCGUCUGUGGUGCUUUAGUGGGAUUCCUGUACAACAAGUUCUCUGUCUAAAACUCAAAGAAGAAGAAGCAGUAAUACCACAUCCAAGCCUGGGUCCACACAAGUGAUCUUUUCUACAAUGAAUCAAUUUGUCUCCAUCCCAAAAACUGCACAUAAAUGUAGUUUCCUCUAAAUUUCUGUGGGUUUAUGUGCCAUGGAUCUAACAUCCUUUCCUACUCCGGCAGAAAAACUCACUCUUUGAGGUCAGCGGCUCAUUUUAGUAGGAGUUUGAGAGAUCACAGGUUGAAAAGUUUAUACUUCUUCCUACCAAGGUUACCGUUAAUGAAAACGAACAAAUGAAAACUAGAAUUGUAAAAACAUUUUCAUUAAUAAAUAAAUUCAUAAUUCUUGAAUAAAAUAAUAAUAUAUAAAAAAUAUUAUAUAAAUAAAAUAUAAUAUAUUUUUUUAAAAAAUCAUAAAUAAAAACUAUAAUUAAAAGAAAAAAAUGAUAACUGAAACUGUGUAUGUGUUUACAAAACUAAAACUUAUAAACAUUAUGGCUAAAAUUCCCUUCGUUUUCGUCAAUGUUGGACUGAUACGAAAUCGUUUUAUUUUGCUCUUGCAAUUUUCUCUGCUGUCACCAUAUGACACUUUUUGGUCCGUCACUUGUGGUUUCCAGUCGUCUUCUGGUCCCCACUCUACCUGGAAACAUGCAGACUAAAGUUGGGAGAAAGCAGCAGAGUCCUGUCUGGGAUUUAUUUGAAUACGACGACAGAGAAGAAGAGAAAAGAGACAACAAAACCAAAACUAAGCAUUUAGAAAAUAAUGAAAACUAAUAAAAAUAGGACCAAUGGCCCUGUAUCUUAGCGGCCAAAUUAAAAGCUUAGGUAAAUGUAUCCAGAUCCAUUUAUUCUCCCCCAGUUCUGUGUAUUUAUUCUAUUACAGAAAUAGUCCAUGUUUUGCUCAUAUUCCAAUCAGAUCUGUAAAAAAUUCAAAUUCACACUUGAUAUCAUUGAUACUGAUUUAUUGGAUCAAUUCACUUCCUAUCUGUUAUAAUGGGAACAUUUUUCAAAGUUGCACCAAAUCCAGAAUCAGAUCCAGAUGGAAAUAAUUUCAAUCCCUUGUGUUGACAUCAUCAUAAAGAAGCUGUAGACCAAGUUUGAAGUCAAUCAGAAUUGUAGUUUCGGAGAAGAAGACGAUUGGAAGUUUUGUAACGGACGACAGACGACAAUAGUUUACAGCCUGUUGGCCGGUAAGCUAAAAUCUAGCAAACCUGCUCUAAAAAUGAAUUAAAACUGAAUUAGAGAAAAAAAAAGUUAACACUAAAUAAAACUAAACUCUAAUGAAAAAUCCAAAACGAUUAGAACCUUACUUCCUCCUCCUUUUCAACCAUGCAAAAUUCAGACUUGUAUGUGCUUGAAGAUUGUGUUCAUUUGAAUGUUAUUUUGUUUUUGUCUUGAUUUGCUUUGUUUUGUUUUAUUUUGUUUCUUUGUAUGUUCUAAAUAAAUAAAUAAAAAGUCCUUUUGUCUUUUUGCUAAACCCCCCACCCCAACACAUACAUUCUGGCCUAGGUAAGUCCCCUCCCCUUUUGUAGGUCGAUCUUGCCUGUUUCGUCGAUUAUACAAAGACAUUGUGAUUCGUGACGAACCUAUCAGCUGUGUUCGACAAGGAGAUAAAAACGUAACACCUGAUUCAUGUGUGGGUUCAGAGAACUGAGUGAAGAGGUCAUGCACUGCAUAAUAUGAACGGGUCCUGUCUUUGUUCACUCAACUCCUUUAUAGGGCUGUGUAUCAGCAAGAAUCUGGGGAUACGAUACAAAUCACAAUACUAGGAUCAUGAUAUGAUAUCACGAUAUAUGAAGAUACUGUUAAAAAGGCAAUUUUUUAAAAAAAUGAUUAUUUCCUGGAAGAAUUGAAUUACACCAGAAAGAUAUAUCGUUAUCAUAUCAGUAUCUAGAUAUGAACAUUCAAGAUAUUAAUAUCGAAAAAGCAACGAUAUAAACGAUAUAGAUUUCCCCCUGUGCUCACCCUGCAU